rnacentral:misc_RNA from 1 species
GGAUGUUCUAGAACUUGAGCAGGAGUAAUUCUCUUCCUUGGAUCCUGUGUCAGCAUUUUCCUCACAAGAUCUUUAGCACUUUCGGAUAUUGUUGGCCAUGGUGCACUUGCAAAAUCAAUAUCUCCUUGUAGUAUGGCAUCAAAUAUUCCUUUCUCAUUUUCAGCCCAGAAUGGAGGCACACCACUGAGAAGGAUGUACAAAAUAAC